CACGUAGGAGGCAAGCGUUGUCCGGAAUCAUUGGGCGUAAAGAGCGCGCAGGCGGCUUGGCAAGUCGGGUGUGAAAUCCCGGGGCUCAACCCCGUGACUGCAUCCGAUACUGUCAGGCUAGAGGUAGGUAGGGGAGAUCGGAAUUCCUGGUGUAGCGGUGAAAUGCGCAGAUAUCAGGAGGAACACCGGUGGCGAAGGCGGUUCUCUGGGCCUUACCUGACGCUGAGGAGCGAAAGCGUGGGGGAGCAAACAGG
rnacentral:rRNA from 1 species